GUGCUUGCUUCGGCAGCACACAUACUAAAAUUGGAAUGAUACAAAGAAGAUUAGCAUGGUCCCUGGGCAAGGAUGACACACAAAUUCGUGAAGCGUUCCGUAUUUUU
ensembl:snRNA U6 U6 spliceosomal RNA